CUCGUAAAAGCUUCCAACUAGCUUUGACCGUAUAGAGGUUGUCUCUGCUUGCAUUUUACCUCGAAUCAAUAACUUGGAAACUAGGGCAAACGUUCGUGCCAUACUAGACCUGACAGUCAAGGUGGUGGUAUCUGUGGUCAGUGCAAGUUUUAAUUGUACGCGAAAUCAAUCGCUUUCAUAUGCGAACGGAUACUGCAGUUUCGUUGAACUUGAACUUGUGCAGCAUGUUGUGGUGGAGAAAAGGUCGUGGAAUUUGCAUGGACUGAGGACCGCAUUGUGGCAGACGUAAGAAUGAAGAAGCGCACCAACACGUUCCAGAGUCAACCAAAAAAGCAAGCGAAACUGGAAAUUUAAAGAUUAUUUCUAUUAGUGUCUAAAACUCUGUACAAUAUUUAUAAAAAAAACCUAAAUAAAGUAUAUUAUUCAUUC